rnacentral:rRNA from 1 species
GUCUACGGCUAUACCACCCUGAACAUACCCUAUCUCAUUGGGUUGUAGAAGCUAAGCAGGAUCAGGACUGGUUAGUACUCGGAUAAGAAAAUAUGAUAUAGAUC